AUGAAAUCUGUAGCAGAAAACAUAGGGCUGAGAUCUCUCCAAGGUAUUGCCCCACUCUCCCACAAUCUCUGUUCCUUGUAUUUGAGAAUUCACAAGGUCCCUUGAACUCACUUCUCUUCAACAGAUACAUGUUUAUGGCUGUCUGAGUCUCCAAUUCCUGCCACAAGACUCUUUCUUUUCUGAGUAAAGGUAUGAGAAUAAUUAGAUUUAUUUUUAUGAAGCUGCAAUAAUUAGAUUUAAUUAAAGCCAGUAGAAUUAAUUUCUCCUUUGGAUUUAGGAGCAUCUUGUUGAGCUGAGGUAUGCACGGGAAGUAAAAGCACUCAAGUAAACGUCCAUAUUAAAAAGCUAUUAGAAGAAGCAGGCUUUUCAAAAUUUGAUCUGGAACAAUUGAAGGUAAGGCUUGUCUGUGUUCUUUCUCUGCGCCUUUAACUUCUGAAGGACUCUAAAAUGUUACUUGCUCAACAUGGAACAACAGCAAUAGUUCAUUAGCAUUUUCUUUUUCUGUAAAAAAGAAUCUUGCCUUGAAUUGCAAAUUAGAUUUUAUUGGUAUUAAGCUUGAUAAAUUCUGAUAAUUCUGUCACUUUGUUUCUCACCGGGCCUGGUCCUUAUCGGUAUCCAAGAGCAUGCUGAUCACAACUUAUGUCUGUCUAGUCUCAAAUGCUGAUUUAUUAGUCACUCUGCACGAUAACAUGCCUUCUCAUAAACAGUUCUCAUUUGCAGGUUUCUUUCAUGUCACAGCCCGAGGAGAGUUUACCGUUGUAUAUAGAUUUUUGUUUUUCUACAAACAAAUUGUGCAAACAAAGGGGAAGGAAAUCUUCUCCAGGUGGCGAUCUAG
rnacentral:lncRNA from 1 species